rnacentral:rRNA from 1 species
GACGAACCGUGCGAACGUUAUUCGGAAUCACUGGGCGUAAAGCGUGCGUAGGCGGUGGCCCAAGUCUGGUGUGAAAUCUCCCGGCUCAACCGGGAGGGUGCGCCGGAAACUGGGUCGCUCGAGUACUGGAGAGGCAAGCGGAAUUCCUGGUGUAGCGGUGAAAUGCGUAGAUAUCAGGAGGAACACCCGUGGUGUAGACGGCUUGCUGGACAGUCACUGACGCUGAGGCACGAAAGCGUGGGGAGCAAACAGG